AUUGAACGCUGGCGGCAUGCCUUACACAUGCAAGUCGAACGGUAACAGGUUAAGCUGACGAGUGGCGAACGGGUGGGUAAUAUAUCGGAGCGUGCCCAGUCGUGGGGGAUAACUGCUCGAAAGAGCAGCUAAUACCGCAUACGACCUGAGGGUGAAAGCGGGGGAUCGCAAGACCUCGCGCGAUUGGAGCGGCCGAUAUCAGAUUAGGUAGUUGGUGGGGUAAAGGCCCACCAAGCCAACGAUCUGUAGCUGGUCUGAGAGGACGACCAGCCACACUGGGACUGAGACACGGCCCAGACUCCUACGGGAGGCAGCAGUGGGGAAUUUUUGGACAAUGGGCGCAAGCCUGAUCCAGCCAUGCCGCGUGCGGGAAGAAGGCCUUCGGGUUGUAAACCGCUUUUGUCAGGGAAGAAAAGGUUCUGGUUAAUACCUGGGACUCAUGACGGUACCUGAAGAAUAAGCACCGGCUAACUACGUGCCAGCCGCCGCGGUAA
rnacentral:rRNA from 1 species